ACAGCAGUCGCCACGGUAAUACAGAGGGUGCGAGCGUUAAUCGGAAUUACUGGGCGUAAAGCGUGCGCAGGCGGUUAUAUAAGACAGAUGUGAAAUCCCCGGGCUCAACCUGGGAACUGCAUUUGUGACUGUAUAGCUAGAGUACGGCAGAGGGGGAUGGAAUUCCGCGUGUAGCAGUGAAAUGCGUAGAUAUGCGGAGGAACACCGAUGGCGAAGGCAAUCCCCUGGGCCUGUACUGACGCUCAUGCACGAAAGCGUGGGGAGCAAACAGGAUUAGAUACCCCCGUAGUCCCUGUCUCUUAUAC
rnacentral:rRNA from 1 species